GGAGAUGUGGCAGAGCGGUUUAUUGCAGCGGACUCAAAAUCCGACGGGGAAGAGUUUCCAGACCAGCCCCCGUGGGUUCAAAUCCCACCAUCUCCGCCA
rnacentral:tRNA from 1 species